rnacentral:misc_RNA from 1 species
GCAAACUUGGUCAUUUAGAGGAAGUAAAAGUCGUAACAAGGUUUCCGUAGGUGAACCUGCGGAAGGAUCAUUAUUGAAUACUCGAUGGGUUGUAGCUGGCUCCUCGGAGCAUGUGCACGCCUGUCUUGACUCUAUUCAUCCACCUGUGCACCUAUUGUAGUCUCAUUUGAGGGGUCAUCGGUCGCAAGGCCGGAUGUGAGGGAUGCAGCGUGAAAGCGUAGCUCCCUUCUGAAGUUGGCCCUUCGGUGGACUAUGUCUUUAUUCACAAACCAUGUAGUAUGUUGCAGAAUGUAUUCAAUGGGCCAUCGUGCCUAUAAAACCUUAUACAACUUUCAGCAACGGAUCUCUUGGCUCUCGCAUCGAUGAAGAACGCAGC